UACGGGGGGGCAAGCGUUGUUCGGAAUUACUGGGCGUAAAGGGCUCGUAGGUGGCCAACUAAGUCGGGACGUGAAAUCCCUCGGCUUAACCGGGGAACUGCGUCCGAUACUGGAUGGCUUGAGUUUGGGAGAGGGAUGCGGAAUUCCAGGUGUAGCGGUGAAAUGCGUAGAUAUCUGGAGGAACACCGGUGGCGAAGGCGGCAUCCUGGACCAACACUGACGCUGAGGAGCGAAAGCCAGGGGAGCAAACGGG
rnacentral:rRNA from 1 species